UACGGAGGGUGCAAGCGUUAAUCGGAAUUACUGGGCGUAAAGCGCACGCAGGCGGUCUGUCAAGUCGGAUGUGAAAUCCCCGGGCUCAACCUGGGAACUGCAUUCGAAACUGGCAGGCUUGAGUCUCGUAGAGGGGGGUAGAAGUCCAGGUGUAGCGGUGAAAUGCGUAGAGAUCUGGAGGAAUAACGGUGGCGAAGGCGGCCCCCUGGACGCAGACUGACUCUCAGGUGCGACAUCGUGGGGAGCAAACCUG
rnacentral:rRNA from 1 species